UACGUAGGGUGCGAGCGUUAAUCGGAAUUACUGGGCGUAAAGCGUGCGCAGGCGGUUCGUCGUGUCUGAUGUGAAAGCCCCGGGCUCAACCUGGGAAUGGCAUUGGAAACUGGCGGACUAGAGUGUGGCAGAGGGGGGUGGAAUUCUCGGUGUAGCGGUGAAAUGCGUAGAUAUCGAGAGGAACACCUGCGGCGAAGGCGGGUGGCUGGGCCGACACUGACGCUGAGGCGCGAAAGCCAGGGGAGCGAACGGG
rnacentral:rRNA from 1 species